UACGUAGGGGGCGAGCGUGGUCCGGAUUCAUUGGGCGUAAAGAGCUCGUAGGCGGCUUGAUAAGUCGGGUGUGAAACCUCCAGGCUCAACCUGGAGUCGCCACUCGAUACUGUCAUGGCUAGAGUCCGGUAGGGGACCACGGAAUUCCUGGUGUAGCGGUGAAAUGCGCAGAUAUCAGGAGGAACACCGGUGGCGAAGGCGGAUCUCUGGGCCAUUACUGACGCUGAGGAGCGAAAGCGUGGGGAGCGAACAGG
rnacentral:rRNA from 1 species